UCUCUCUCUCUCUGACCCAUCUCCCUCAUACACACAUCAUCACACAGUGAAAGUGGGAAUAUUAUUUUUGCAGACCAACAACGAGAAUAUAAUCAUUCUUUCUAUAUAUCCACACAAACGUAUGUAUAUGUAAUAUUUAAUAUGUAUGCAUAGAUCUUCAUCAUAUGUUGCAGGUGUGUUUUCUUAUGGAGUGAAAGAUUUGGGGCAGACCUUUGAAGACUUUUUUAAAAAUGGUUCAGUUUUUAUAUAAUUAAUUACAUGUUGCUGCCUUUUUUUUUAAUUUACUUUUAAAAAAUCUGACUCUGACUCUCAUGAUAAAAGCGACCCAUCAGCUGUUUGUCAACAAACUCGUCUGAUUAAUUUCUUCUGUAAAUUUUGUAAAUCAGAAACAGUCACUGUUGGUGUUCAUUCUUUUAAGAUAUUCAGUGAAUUCUCAUUUCAAUCAUCUGAGUUUAUGGAUGUAUAAGGUACACACAGUUACGCUCUCUCUCCCUCUCCCUCUCUCUCUCUCUAGUCUGUCUCUCUCUCUCUCAUACAUACACAGACAUCAGAAAUUUCUAUUAUUUAACUGGUCCAUCUAAUUGGGGUGCCUAGUUUUCAAGAUUAGGGUUUCUGGGUAGGUCUCUUUUGGUGUUAAUGUUUUAGGGUUUUGAUUCUUGAAAGUCAAUAUUGUUGGCUUGUCUUCUUUCUUACAAAUUCUUGAUCUUUAUUUGUGUUUAAGAUUAAGAUCUGAAGGAAAGUAACUUUGAAGAUUAAGAUUUAAAAACCAUUUAUAGUUGUAGAACAUAUCAAGAACAAGAAAACACCAAAAAGGGUAGGUUUUAAUGCUUAAUUUUCAGCUGUUUAUAUUUUCAUGAUCCAUAAAAGUGUAUAAAAGGCAUAUCUUGAAAAUUAAACUAGUUCUAGAUUUAGUCAUACAUGUUAACAUACAACAUACAUACUCAAAGUCACAUAGCAAUAUUAUGUUUUAUCAUGUAUCAAUUUCAUGAUAAGGAUCCCACUUUAAAUCAUUUUUGACCAAACUAAAAGAAAAAAAUGAAUUUUGGUAAUUGAAGGUUAGUUAAUUUGGGCUUAAAGAGCUUCUUUUGAUGCUUAAAUAUAUGUCAUAAUUUUGGUACUUUCUUUACUUUAAGUUCUGCACAUGGUUAUGCUGAAGCUCAAGAAGAAAUCAAUGAGAACAAUAAGAGCAAAUUCAAUAAAAAAAAUUGAAUAGGGUGUCUAUAAGUAGAUUAUCAUCACAAAGUAUACUUUUUGUACUCUUAGUCGUAUUUGUACUACAUGAACAGGUGACUUGUAGCAAUUAGAUAUUUGUGGAGCACUUUUUUCAUGUAUACCUUUUGUAGAAACAAAUAUGUUAAUUAAACAUGCAAGCAUUGGUAGUACACCUAGUGUGAUCUUUUUCUAGGUUGAUUAACUACAUCUUUUGUUUUGUUUGUUUUGUAGGUUAAAAAAUGUUUUUAUAGGUAAUGAAAUUAAGUUAGCUUAGGAUAUAACGAAGGGAACUCCCUCCAGCCCACUAACGGAUGUGAUUAAGGAAUUGAAUUAGCUGCCGACUCAUUCAUUUAACCACUCAGUAGAAAAGGGUUCACUUUAUGCUACUUUGAUUGAGUGAAUGAUGCGGGAGAUAGUUUUCAUCCCUUGCUAAUCUGUACUUGGACUGAAGGGAGCUCCCUCGUUCUUUUCUCCUAGCACCAUUGGUACCUAUUUCUUAACUAUUUGCACAUAAUGUUAGAUGCACAUAGUUAACAAGAGAUCAUAUAUAGGCUGAUUCUUUAACCCCCUUGAGUAAAAAAAAAACAUAACAUUUGGGUGAGGCUAUAUGUAUCUCCUUAUACUUAAUGUACCUUCUAUGAGAUAAAGUACAUAGAUGAUAAGACUGAUUUAGAAGCGGAAUGAGGUAAGUUCAGUGAAAAGCAUAGAAGGGAAUGUACGUUUAGUAAUUAGUUUCUUGACCACUUGACUAUCAUAUUGGUUGUCUUAUCACAUGCUUCUUGUUUCUCUUUGGUUUCUUGCAACCAUGACAUGCCUUAUUAAGUACAUCCAUAUAAUGAGUUUCUAUUCACACACACAUGUAUAGAAACAUACACGGAUGAGUUAAAAUAAGAACUACUAAAUAUUUAGCGAGUCUUUAUGCUGAUAUAUAAUUAAAAUCGGUUUAGCUACUACUAAAGAGAGGCAAAACGACACAUCUUUCUAACCGAGACAAACCGUCACAAAGUUGCGACGAAGAUUGCAUUGGAAAUUGAUGUCGCUGCAUUGCAAUGUUUUUAUGGCGACCGAUUUGUGAUGGUUUUUCCUUCGCUAAACAUGUAGAAAAUAACAAAACCUAAAUAAAAAUGUUGUUAGUUCAGUAACUUUUGCUUUUUUAAAAGUGGCGAAGGCCAUAUAUAUACACACUUAAUGUUUUUUUUGGCACCCCAGAUAAUUUUUUAAUAGCCUAGCAUUUUUUUUUGAGCACCCCAGAUAAUUUUUUAAUAACCUAGCAUGUUGUUUCUGGUUUAUUGUGAGGUUACUAGCUUGAUUAGAAAAGGCUUGUAGAUUAACUGUUGAAGCACAUGAUUAUAUCAUUCAGACUGGAUACGGGAUACCUUUAUGAACUAUUAUUUAUUAAUUUAUUUGGUACCUUAAACUGCCAUUUGUGGACUACUCGCUAUGUAUCGUGUCUAAAAAGUUGUGCUUUUUAGUAUGACUUGGAAAGAUUCUUGAAGAAAGUACACUUCAUGGAAAGAAUUCACACAGCUGAUUCGUUGGUGCUUUUUUAAUACAAAAUUUCAUGUGCAUGUGUGCCUAUAGGACCAAAUCUGCCACAAAUCGUCCAAAAAUCCAGUAUGAGAUUGGAGUGUGUAUAUAUAAAAGUAGUUUUUAAACUCUCAAAUGAGGCAGACUUAUUUUUAAUUAGUAUACAAGUACACUUUAUGGAAAGAAUUCACACUCAUUGAAGUGUUUAUGGCUUAGUGGUACUAAGGUGUGAUGAAAAUGUGUAUUUUUUCAUGAGAUUAAGAGUGUGUGAGUUAGUCGGAAAAAAAUAUCUAAGUCUAGAAUCAAGAGGACCAAUCAUCAACGGACAUCAGGAAUUCCAAGCGUCAUGCAUCCUUUCCAGGAGUAUAAAAUGUACGUUACCAAUUCUCCGCGUCUUAAAAGCAGUAUACGAUUUAUGAUUGUCAAAAGAUAGGUUCAUUUUUGUUAAUGAUUCUUCAACUUAUGAUUUGUUUUUGAUUUUGUGUUUGAACCAUUGCGUGUUUAUGUGUGUUCUUCAAAUGAUUGAUUAUGUUUUUUUUCAAUUUCCUAAUUAAACAUGAUCCUUGUUAAAUUGACUAGAAACAAUCAUUGGGAAAAAUCUGUUAGAAAAUGAGAAGGGGUUGUCAACAUUUAUAUUCGAUUUUCAUGUUCGUAUGUUUUGAGAAUGAAACGUUCAACAUAUAAGUUGUUUCAUUUUGUUGAGUCUGGUACAUCUUAAAACUAUAUGUAGUGGUUUAGUUAGUUGGUGGAAAAAGUUAGUGACAUGUUAAUGCCACGUAGGAGUCGGGCUUUCACUAACUAAAAUUGAUAAUUGUAUAGUGGUUUAACUAAAAAAAUUAAAUAAAGAUGGCUGAUGUGACAAUAUGUGAUUGGCUAAAAGAACAAAGUUAUCCCCCCUUCUCACGACCAUUACCAGGGAAAGCCCAUUCAAUGGCGCCCCUAACUGACUACCACGUGUGUGACACCCCAUAUGGUGAUAUUGCAGUGAAACAAAAAUUUAUUCAAGAAAUACUAUUUGGAAUAGAAGGAAGAAAUAGUCUCUAAUUACAACUAAUGAUGAUAUUUGUGUUUGAUACUUAUGCUUACAUCGUUCACAAUGUUACUCAGUUCAUUUAUUAUGGGCAAGGAUAUAUAGGAAACCAUUUUUUAGUGAGAAAACUAAGUAAACCCAAUUGUGACCAUUGAUCUUGAUCAUCUAAGGGUUAGGGAAAUUCGAUGUUUAUUGAUUUAAAUUUAAUACAUAACAUAUGUUGAUGAGUGGGCCAGGAGGGUAUUUGUGUCAAAAAGACCCUAUCUCAUUCUCUCUCUUCUGUAUAGUUGUCACCAUCACCAUCAAAGCAUCAUCAUUGUCUCUCUUUCUUCUUUCUUCUUCUUUGAGAAUUCAAAAUAUCUUCUGUACAUUCACCAUCAAACCAUCAUCAUCAUCCAUUCUCUCAUCUUCUCUCUUUCUUCAUGUUUCAAUCACCAAGAACACACACACAAGUGUGUGUGAGAGAAGCAAGCCUGAAUCGUUAUUGUUAAAGAAAGAGAAACACCAAAAGCAUACACACAAGUGUGUGAGAGAAAGAGAAACAAGAUUCUUCUUCGUGUUCAUGAAGAACACCAAGAACACACACACAAGUGUGUGAGAGAGAAGCAGACCUGAAUCAUUCGGUUGCAUGUGUUUCUAGAGAGAGAAAGUUAUUAGAACACCAAGACCAAGAACACACACAAGUGUGUGAGAGAGAAGCAGGUCAGAAAUCAUUUGGUUCAUGGGUUUUUAGAGAGAGAAAGUUGUUAGAACGCCAAGAACACACACACAAGUGUGUGUGUGAGAGAAGAAGGUCAGAAAUCAUCAUCACCCCCAUUCAAUCUCUCCAACACAGUACGGCGGUACAAAUCUUCAUCAUGUUCAUCUAGAACACACGCACAAGUGUGUGAGAGAGAAUCAUUUUUGAAGAUCUUCAUCGUGUUCAUCGGACGGGUCUAGAUCCGGUAAGUGUUCUACUAACAGCAAGAACACACUUGAUUUUUUUUGUUAAAAUGGUUGUCAAUAACUUUUUGUGUGCUCAAAGUGUUCUAGUAAUGGGUUAAUGUUCAUGUAUUUUGCAGGUUUUUGUUUUUAUGUUAAAAUCAUUUUUAGUUUUUUGAUAUUUUCAGUUUGUUGGCCAAUAAUUUAUGGGUUGGGUUUGUGUUAGGUUUUAUGAAUUGGAUUUGCUUUAUUUUGUUUUCUGUUUUUUGUUUAAAUUGGGCAUCCCAAUUAUUGGUAGAUAAUUAGUUUGAAAAUCCAUAAUUGUUACAGUAAAGGUUUCAAAAUUUUGUUGGUUAAGUUGUUCUUUUUUUAUAAUUAGUGUUAGAUGUUUCAAAUUUUUGCAGGCAUAACUAGUUACGUAUGUUACAUUUCUGCCAGCUACAUUUCUGCUAGUUAGAUUCUAAACUGUUUGUCCUGUAUGUUGUAACAUAUGUUACACUUUCGAACAAUAUAUGGUGCAUACAUUGUGUUACACAUUUUGUUUUGAUAUGAGUGGAUAUUGAAAUGGUGAAUGGUAAUUGUUGUAUCCUCAUCUUAGCAAGUACUCUUUUGCUGACUACUAAUAUUUGUGUUUUUCAUUUCUUGGGCAGGACUGGGACUGGGAAGAAACCUAACAAAACAUUAUGUGUGAGAUGAUGCAGAUAAAAACUCAAAUAUUAGGGAGUCUUCAAGUUCAGGGCAUAAUUGGGUAGAAGUUGCAACCAAAUGAGAAGGGAUCUUGGCAGGAAAAAAAAGAACUACAAUAUCGGAUACGACAAAAGGUGGCCAAAAAGCGAAAGAAGGUAGAUGGAGAAACCAAUGAAGAAUGGGAACAAGAAGUCGAUGAAGGGCAGGUGGUGGGUACCUUUGACGUUGCACAGAAGUUACCCUCUAGUGUAACACAUGUUACAAACAUGUGUUACGCAUGUUCAACCCCUUUGUUACCAAAAAUCGGGGCUGCACAUAUGAAAGACAUGUUUGUAACUUAUGUUACACUAGAGGGUAACAGAUGUAUGAUCAUUUUUGGAUCAUUUGUAUAUAUUUAAGUCUGUAUAAACCUACAACAUCGAAACCCCCAAAAAGGUUACACAUGUUAUGACAGAAUGGGAAAUGUGUAGCAGCGUUCAAUACUGUUGUUUCACUCUAUAGUAUGUAACAUGUGUGACAUGGCGUUUGUCAGCAAAACAUAUAACUUGUAAGGUGAUACGGUUGUAUCUUUAAAACAUGUUUACCUAUAAAUACUUACAUGUUACAGGUUG